rnacentral:rRNA from 1 species
UACGUAGGGUGCAAGCGUUGUCCGGAAUUAUUGGGCGUAAAGAGCUCGUAGGCGGUCUGUCGCGUCGAAUGUGAAAACCCGGGGCUCAACCCCGGGCCUGCAUUCGAUACGGGCAGACUAGAGUUCGGUAGGGGAGUCUGGAAUUCCUGGUGUAGCGGUGGAAAUGCGCAGAUAUCAGGAGGAACACCGGUGGCGAAGGCGGGACUCUGGGCCGAUACUGACGCUGAGGAGCGAAAGCGUGGGGAGCAAACAGG